rnacentral:rRNA from 1 species
AGUGAACGCUGGCGGUAGGCCUAACACAUGCAAGUCGAACGGCAGCACAGUAAGAGCUUGCUCUUACGGGUGGCGAGUGGCGGACAGGUGAGGAAUACAUCGGAAUCUACUUUUUCGUGGGGGAUAACGUAGGGAAACUUACGCUAAUACCGCAUACGACCUACGGGUGAAAGCAGGGGAUCUUCGGACCUUGCGCGAUUGAAUGAGCCGAUGUCGGAUUAGCUAGUUGGCGGGGUAAAGGCCCACCGAGGCGACGAUCCGUAGCUGGUCUGAGAGGAUGAUCAGCCACACUGGAACUGAGACACGGUCCAGACUCCUACGGGAGGCAGCAGUGGGGAAUAUUGGACAAUGGGCGCAAGCCUGAUCCAGCCAUACCGCGUGGGUGAAGAAGGCCUUCGGGUUGUAAAGCCCUUUUGUUGGGAAAGAAAAGCAGCAGGUUAAUACCCCGCUGUUCUGACGGUACCCAAAGAAUAAGCACCGGCUAACUUCGUG